CCUUUCUUCCAGAAGGAGAUUUAACCAUAGUAGAAAGAAUGGAGAACUAUUAACUGCCUUUCUUCUGUGGGCUGUGAUUUUCAGAGGGGAAUGCUAAGAGGUUCAUGACAACAAAUCAACUCUUUUUACCUGCUGCAUUGAAUUCCCUCCGAGGGAUGAGCCGUCAUUCCUCUAAGCAGUCUCCUGAUGGGUGGCUGGUUCAGUUGGUUACCAUUUUUAUACUUUAAAAAUAGUGCUGCAGUGUCAUUCUCACAGAGGCUUCUGUCUGCACCCAUGCAAGUACUUUGCUCGACUUGACAUCAGGAAGUGGAACUGCUGGGCCAACUGUGCAAUUCUAAAUUUCACACUUCAUGAUAUUGUAUAAGUAAAUAAAGUUGCAAUGGUU
rnacentral:lncRNA from 10 species